GACGAACGCUGGCGGUGUGCUUAACACAUGCAAGUCGAACGGUAAGGCCCUUUCGGGGGUCCACGAGUGGCGAACGGGUGAGUAACACGUGAGUAACCUGCCCUCAUCUCUGGGAUAACAGUCGGAAACGGUUGCUAAUACUGGAUAUGAGCUUGCAAGGCAUCUUGUGGGUUGGAAAGAUUUUUUUGGUUGGGGAUGGACUCGCGGCCUAUCAGCUUGUUGGUGAGGUAGUGGCUCACCAAGGCUUCGACGGGUAGCCGGCCUGAGAGGGCGACCGGCCACAGUGGGACUGAGAUACGGCCCAAACUCCUACGGGAGGCAGCAGUGGGGAAUAUUGCACAAUGGACGGAAGUCUGAUGCAGCAACGCCGCGUGCGGGAUGACGGCCUUCGGGUUGUAAACCGCUUUCAAUUGUGACGAAGCUUUUUGUGACGGUAGCAGUAGAAGAAGCACCGGCUAACUACGUG
rnacentral:rRNA from 1 species